AAACCGUUACCAUUACUGAGUUUAGUAAUGGUAACGGUUCUGCUGACGGUUGGGCA
rnacentral:pre_miRNA from 1 species